GAGAUCCAAUCCUCUGCAAAAAGAAAGAAAAAGGAAAAUUGAUAAGUUAUCUAACGAUCACUCAGAAAUAAAGAAGGAAAAAGUGGGGGCUCACGGUUGGCGAUUCGAUCGAUAGAUCUGCAGAUCCUAUCCCGCGUAAAAUUCUCCCAAUGAUCUUGUUUCUGCAAUGCAACGGUUCAGGCACUCGUCCUCCAAUCCUCGGGGUAGGUGGCAAUAUUCGGAUGACCAACUGCAA
rnacentral:lncRNA from 1 species